rnacentral:rRNA from 1 species
CCUACGGGAGGCAGCAGUGGGGGAUAUUGCACAAUGGGGGGAACCCUGAUGCAGCGACGCCGCGUGAGCGAAGAAGUACCUCGGUAUGUAAAGUUCUAUCAGCAGGGAAGAAAAUGACGGUAUCUGACUAAGAAGCCCCGACUAAAUAGGUGUCAGCAGACGCGGGAAUACGUAGGGGGCAAGCGUUAUCUGGAUGUACUGGGUGUAAAGGGAGCGUAGGCGGCCAGCCAAGUCUGAUGUGAAAACCCGGGGCCCAACCCCGGGCCUGCAUUGGAAACUGGCGGGCUGGAGUGUCGGAGGGGCAGGCGGAAUUCCUGGUGUAGCGGUGAAAUGCGUAGAUAUUAGGAAGAACACCGGUGGCGAAGGCGGACUGCUGGACGGUGACUGACGGUGAGGCGCGAAAGCGUGGGGAGCAAACAGGAUUAGAUACCCUGGUAGUC